CAGUGGCGAACGGGUGAGUAACACGUGGGCAAUCUGCCUGACUUCGGAAUAACUCCUCGAAAGAGACUAAUACCGGAUACGACCACUUCGGGCAUCCGAUGGUGGUAGAAAGUUUCUCGGUCAGGGAUGAGCCCGCGCCUAUCAGCUUGUUGGUGGGGUAACGGCCCACCAAGGCGACGACNGUAGCCGGCCUGAGAGG
rnacentral:rRNA from 1 species